rnacentral:lncRNA from 1 species
CUACACGUGAACUAGCGAUCACAACAACAACAAAGAUCAAUCUGUGAUAUCUUCCCUGUGAUGUCAUUCUUAUAGUAGCUGUGGUUCAAUGUUCAGAUGUGCAUGAAGAGAAUUUACCUGUAACACCUGGGAUUACCUGUGCCGUCCAAGAUGACAAGACCACUGUGUUAUGUUUACCUUGUAUCUGUGAUUUCUUUUUGUGAUUUUUAAUACAAUUUAAGCCAAAAUUCAUUGUCUGUUAUCAUUUUUUCAGUGUUUUCAAGUUUUAUUUCACUUGUAAACACCUGUAAUUAGAAAAUAACAAAGGUUAAAGACAAUAACAACAAAGAAUAUUACAGUAUACUUAAUCCUCUUUACAAUGGUAUAUGAUAAAUGUAUAUUAAA